rnacentral:rRNA from 1 species
AAUGAACGCUGGCGGCGUGGUUAAGACAUGCAAGUCGAACGGUUUUUCAGAUGUAGCAAUACAUUUGAAAAGCAGUGGCGAACGGGUGCGUAACACGUGAACAAUCUACCAUUUAGUGUGGAAUAGCUCGCCGAAAGGCGAAUUAAUACCGCAUGUGGUUCUUCUCCGCAUGAGAGGAACUUUAAAGGAGCAAUCCGCUUUGAGAUGGGCCCGCGUCGCAUUAGCUAGUUGGUGAGGUAAUAGCUCACCAAGGCGACGAUGCGUAGCCGACCUGAGAGGGUGAUCGGCCACAUUGGAACUGAGACACGGUCCAGACUCCUACGGGAGGCAGCAGUGGGGAAUAUUGCACAAUGGGCGAAAGCCUGAUGCAGCAACGCCGCGUGAGUGAUGAAGGCCUUCGGGUUGUAAAGCUCUGUCUUUUGGGACGAUAAUGACGGUACCAAAGGAGGAAGCCACGGCUAACUACGUGCCAGCCGCCGCCGUAAUAC